CAUGAACAUCCUAGUUUGGAGGAGUGGGGGCAUUUAAUAACCCGUACAGCUGUCAAUCUUUCAUGGCGGCCUCCUGUGUUUACAAAUUCGCAGCAUGACUUGAUUUCGUGACUGCUGCUAUAUAACUCCAGUGUACGGCUACGUUGUAAGCAGACUUCUAGUCAUUCGAAGAACAGUGAUUACUUUGUCCCCGUGCAAGCUAGCAGUGGCCACAUCAGCCAUUAUGGAAUGGCACAUUGCUUGAACAACAAAUGAACUGAUGGUCUGACACUGCCAUUCCAAAAUUGCUGCGGUGACUACUGCUAGCUAGCAUGAGGAUGAAAAGGACAGCAUUUCAAUCUUGAAGUAUCAGUGUGGUAAAGGUAGAAGUUGGAGUACAGUGGCAUAUCCCAUCCCUGCAUCUAGUGUCCCGUGGGUGCUGUGAUGAACCCACUCUACCACAAAGUCCAUGGUGGUCUUCCAAUGCCUUGCAAAGAAGGGGCCCCCAGACGGCUCGUGCAUCCUGACCAACGUGCUGCGUGUCUGCAACCUCCCCCCAGAGAUCUACAGCUACAACUGGAACCUGCUCACGGAGAUGAGUCCACUGUUGAAGAUGGCAGAGGGGGAUACCAUCUAUGACUACUGCUGGUAUCCCAAGAUGAGUCCUCUGGAUCCAAACUCCUGCU